rnacentral:rRNA from 1 species
GAUGAACGCUGGCGGCGUGCCUAACACAUGCAAGUCGAGCGGCAGCGAGGGGUGCUUGCACCCUGUCGGCGAGCGGCGGACGGCUGAGUAACGCGUGGGAACGUGCCCCAAAGUGAGGAAUAACUGCCCGAAAGGGUAGCUAAUACCGCAUAUUAUCUUCGGAUCAAAGGAUUUAUCCGCUUUGGGAGCGGCUCGCGUCGGAUUAGGUAGUUGGUGAGGUAAUGGCUCACCAAGCCGACGAUCCGUAGCUGGUCUGAGAGGAUGACCAGCCAGACUGGAACUGAGACACGGUCCAGACUCCUACGGGAAGCAGCAGUGAGGAAUCUUCCACAAUGGGCGAAAGCCUGAUGGAGCAACGACGCGUGCAGGACGAAGGCCUUCGGGUUGUAAACUGCUUUUAUAAGUGAGGAAUAUGACGGUAACUUAUGAAUAAGGAUCGGCUAACUACGUG